rnacentral:rRNA from 1 species
UACGUAGGGGCCUAGCGUUGUCCGGAUUUAUUGGGCGUAAAGAGCGUGUAGGCGGCUUGGUAGGUCCGCUGUGAAAACUCGGGGGCUCAACCCCGAGAGGUCGGUGGAAACCAUCUGGCUAGAGUCCGGAAGAGGAGAGUGGAAUUCCCGGUGUAGCGGUGAAAUGCGCAGAUAUCAGGAAGAACACCCGUGGCGAAAGGCGGCUCUCUGGGCCGGUACUGACACUGAGGAGCGAAAGCGUGGGUAGCAAACAGGG